rnacentral:rRNA from 2 species
GAUAGGACCGCAAAGUCGACUGGCAGAAUUCCACUCGCCGCUCGGUGGCGUGGCGGAGGGCGGAAUCCUCUCGGACCCGUCCCCGUUUACGGCUGCCGUUGGCGGGUGCACUUUCCGUCUAGUUGAGCGCCACGACCGGUUCGCUGGCGGUCAUAAGCCCCCGGGGAAGGUAGCUCGCGGCCUCGCCGCGAGUGUUAUAGCCCAUGGGUGGCGUCGGCCCGCUGGUGGACCGAGGAACCAUUACCCGCCGUGCCGGCCCUCAAGGCUCGGGCGCCCUGCCAUUUCGCGACGUUCGACUGGUGAGGACUGUUCACAGUGCUUGCCGACCGCGGCGCGUCACGGUGUGGGACCGCUCCCGUGCAGGCACUCAGGGUCUGUGGCUAUUCGGUCGGCCCCCUAUCCGACCCGUCU